UACGAAGGGUGCAAGCGUUAAUCGGAAUUACUGGGCGUAAAGGGUGCGUAGGCGGUUCGUUAAGUCUGUCGUGAAAUCCCCGGGCUCAACCUGGGAAUGGCGAUGGAUACUGGCGAGCUAGAGUGUGUCAGAGGGUGGUGGAAUUCCCGGUGUAGCGGUGAAAUGCGUAGAGAUCGGGAGGAACAUCAGUGGCGAAGGCGGCCAUCUGGGACAACACUGACGCUGAAGCACGAAAGCGUGGGGAGCAAACAGG
rnacentral:rRNA from 1 species